GAUGAACGCUGGCGGCGUGCCUAACACAUGCAAGUCGAGCGAAAAGACGAGGAGCUUGUGCCUUUGACGGUAGCGGGUGGCGGGCGAGUAACGCGUGGAUCACCUACUUAUAUUUCGGGGAGAACUACGGGAAACCGGAUAUAAUACCAGAGAAUAUAUUGUACCGCAGGGAGCAAUAGAUAAUGACGGCUUUGGUGACACAAAUAGCCGGUUCCGGGCCGGCUUAGCUAGUUGGUAAGGUAACGGCAUACCAAGGCGACGAUGCGUAGCCGAGCUGAGAGGGUGAUCGGCCACACUGGAACUGAGACACGGUCCAGACUCCUACGGGAGGCAGCAGUAGGGAAUCUUGGACAAUGGGCGCAAGCCUGACGCAGCAACGCCGCGUGGGUGAUGAAGGUCUUCGGGUCGUAAAGCCCUGUUGUUGGGAAAGAACAGCUGUAGGAUUAACCACCGCCGUCCUGACGGUACCCAAUCAAAAAGCACCGGCUAACUACGUG
rnacentral:rRNA from 1 species